rfam:Camelus ferus unplaced genomic scaffold scaffold327, whole genome shotgun sequence.
GGGGCUGUAGCUCAGGGGUAGAGCGCGUGCUUAGCAUGCACGAGGUCCUGGGGUCAACCCCAGCACCGCCG